GUGACCAUAUUUACCUUCCUUGUUGUGGCGACGGUUUUUAUUUUGUAACCAUUUUGACGGCUUUUCAUGAUUUUUAAGGUAUGAUAAUCUAUACAUAAUCCAUUUUAAUCAUUCCAUUGUUAAAUGUGACUGUCUUCAUCAUAUUUACUAAAGCAUACCAGUUUGUAAUGUAAAUUUAAUACGGAAUUGAAUGACGCCUACAUUACACACACAUUUAACCUUGUAUGUGUUCAGAUAUCUAGAUUUGCCAUAGCUAAUCUGUACUAUAGCUAGAUAAUAUGAUAUUUACCAACUAUCUAUAAUUAUUAAAUUUCACUUCAGAAAGAAUCAAUGGGUCACCCACACGCCCUUUUUUUGAAAAAGAAUUGCCCUUUUAAAAGAGUGAUAUGCAACCACUUCAACAUUAUAAACUAAUAUGAGAAACUCAUUGAUAUGAAAAUGCAACCAAUUUUAAAUUAAUAAUAUUUUGUAAGGUAGACCUAUCCGGUCUUAUAAUGAUCGAAUUGACCUUUAUGUACUAAAAUAGAGAGACUGCAUACCAAAAAGUAAAACAAAAAAAUACCGAACUCCAAAGAACUCACUGCUUUCGUUUGUUAUUAAGUUGGAAUGGUAAUAGUUUAUUCAGACUAAUUUCAGUUAAGACACACACAAUGUCUACCAUGCAAAACAUGCAUAACCUUGAACUUCAGCUUUAUCACAAAAUGUCCUAAUGGCCAGAUUUGGUUAUUUAUCAAUGGAUCUAUUUCAAAUGAUUUACUUCCUUGUAAAAAGAAAUUCCUCGGUACGCGUACAUUUUUGGCUACAAAAUCAAAAUACGAUGAUUGUGUGCAUUUUCGGACAUAAAAGCCUAUGGAAUACCUUUGCCUCUACCUAGGAUACGAAUGGUCUGUUACAAAGAUUUGCUAAUAAAUGAUGAGAAUGAAUCCCUAGACACAAUAACGUUCUGGAUUUUUGAUGGCGGAUAAAGUAAAAUAUGCUAAAAAAAAGGUUAAGAAUUAUUGAAAAUCAACAGUGUUAAAAUAAUCAAGACAUCGUCAUAUUUAAAAUGAUGUGUAAAACUUAAGUUAUUUUGUAAUAUCAUAACAAUUUCUUUGUCCUGUUUGUAGUAUUAUGGCCUGAUUAAAAAAAAACAUUCAAAAUCUUAGGACCAAUUUUGACCAUUCGUGAACUUACACCUUUUUAAAGAAUGUGAAACUUUACUUUUAUAAUAAAAAAGUAGUGAGUUAUAAAGAUUUAGAACUUAACCUGUUAGAUUGGUAAAUAUAUCUUAACUGGUUUAGUUUGCAGUUUGAUGGUCAAUUCAAUUACUGUGGUGAGCAAUGAGAGAGGAAAAAAAGGGACGAAAAAUACCAGAGGGACGAAAGAUACCAGAGGGACAGUCAAAUUAAUCCAUUUUCAGAUAAACAGAAUAUAAUUAUAAAUGUUAAAGGCAGUCAGAUUAGGGAACUUAAAAAGAAUGUCAUUGUGACCUCUUUAGAAUGAGAUUCUAGAAAGCGGGUGCUUAAUGGUCGUUAUUUUUAUUCUUUCAGCCAUAUUUUCUUUAUUUCAUUAUUUCGCCCAUCAAUUUAUAAUUCGUUGCCAUAUCCAGACUCUGAAGUGUAAAACAUAUUGUUUUGAUCUAUUUAUUUUAAAAAAUCGAUCAUUCCAGAACUUGUUCAAACUGAACUUUUAAUAAAGAAUAAGAAAAACUGAUUUAUGACAAUUCAUAAAUAUAUUUAUAUUGUUUAUACACAAACAAGAUUUAUUUGACAUUGUCGGAUAAUAUUUUUAAUUUCAGAUUUAGAGUUGCUACACCAGUCUUGAUAAUCUAAUAAUAAAUAGAUCCUACAAUUUUAAUGCGUUUUUUGAUCGGGUUUCAUUACUACAUAUUUGACAUAGAUAAUCUACUACUUGAGUAUUUAUACAAAAUAAACUCUUUUUUGGCAUUUAACUGUACUACUAAUUGCGCUGCACAGAUGCGCAUUUCGACCAUAAAUGCCUCUUCGGUGAUGAACAAGGCUACAUAUUUGAAAGUUCCAUAUCUUAUUAAACAUGUCGAACAAAUAAAAAAAAAACAUCAUAUAAGUAUCGUAAUAGAUUACUGGUCUAGCAGUUCAUUAGCCGAGUAUUCUACCUAGUUUGUGCAAUAAAAUAUGCGGUCCUAAUUUCUCUUCAAGAUGCUCAUUUUGAUCGCUAUUGUCCUUUUAGUGAUGCCAAAAGUCAAAAUAUUUUUAAUUCAAAAAUUAUUAAACAAAAGAAGAGCUUAAAAAAGAAAAAAAUAAUAAUGAAUGUGGCCAAAACCCGACAAAUAACCUGAGCCAUAAAUAAGUUAGUAAUGACUUCUGAAUUACUAUUAUUCAUUAUUUGUGUUGAAAUUCAGUUUGGACCAAUGUUUAACCAAAAGUUUGUUUUGCGUAAUUCAUUUUAGCUGCAACCCCUGCAGCAGAUAAUAACUGUGUCUACGAAUCUAUUAUAAUUAUUGACUCCUUUUUGGUUAUUUGACAUAAUAGAUCGUAGAUUGCAGCUUAAGAUUUCCUUAAGAUUAAAUGUCGUUAAAAGCACACAGUUUCAACAAUACGUAUACAUCCAAAUUGUGGGUUAUGGAGCCUUCGAUGUUCACUUAUAAAACAAUCAUUUGUUCCCUAGCACUUGGGCCUUUGGAAUAGAUCAAUUUAAGAACCUUUUAAUUUUUUUAUUAUUAUAAUUAUGUUGAAGGAAAAUGCAAUAUUUGGCAAACAUAGAUAACGUCCUUCGCUCUUAACACUAGCUCAACAUUUUCAAUAAGUGUCGAAUAUUGGGACAAUAACGGAAAUGUCCAAUAACAUAUAUUGAGUAAUCCACGAAUAUGAACGUAGAUAACAAAAUUUUCCCAGGUUUAUGUCCGAAUCGCGGAUAUUUUAUAAAAAAAGGUGUUACGUGAAAGCAACUUUUUAAAAAUAAUUUAAAAAAAAUGUUAUUAUUAUAUUUUAGAGAUCUCACAUUUCUAUAUACCGUAUGUAAGGUAACCCUACAUAUAUUUAAAUAUAGUCUUAGACGGCGGAAAAUCAACGUGGGUAAUUUGCAUAACUAGGUCAGUAGUCCCAUUAAUUAACGACAUUGUAACCAAGUGAUGCAUUAACUAAAAUGAAUGCCAGGAAAUAGCAUACACUGAUAAUAUCGUUAGUUGUUUACAUACAUUUAUUUGAUGAAAAUAACAACAACAUCAUUAAUAAUCUACAGAAAUCAAGUUUGCACAUAAAACAACUACUGGACAAAACAAAAAAGGCAUGAAUUAAGUUGUCCGUGGUAGUGGGUGGCAUCAACACCCGUGGCAUAUUUUUUUAACGACCUGUCAUUAUCCAAUCGAAAUCCGUGAACUAUGACAAGCCGAGCAUAAACAUCCAUUGGCAAAUGAAAAAAUAUAUCAUAUUCACAUUUUGUUUGUUAAGCUACAACUACAGUGUCACCCAUUUGUAAAAUUCAAGACUCAUUUGUUUUGUAGAAUGGCGAGUAAUUGGACUGUUUGUGGUGUAUGUAAUUUCCGAAACAUCAACAAAGCAUCAGUAGUGUGGUGUUCAGAAUGUGACGAGGGACUUUGUGGCGAGUGUAGAGAGCACCAUGGUGCAUCAAAAUCAACUAGGAACCAUGACACUAUUUCAAUUACAGAAUAUCAGAAGCUACCAACAAAUGUGUUAGAGAUAACACAAACAUGUCAAAAACACAAAGAACACUAUCAAAUAUUCUGUAAGAAACAUGAUUGCCCGUGCUGUAGGAGGUGUGUUAUUGAGACACAUAAUGAUUGUAAUGAUUUGACAGCAAUAGAGGACAUCGUCAAAAAUGUCAAGUCAUCGAAUGCGUGGUUAGAGGUAGAGCAAAUAUUGGUCCAAAUGUUGAAAAAUGUACAAAGAAUUCGUAACGAUCGCACAGAAAAUUUAAAAUGUCUACAGGAUCAGAGGGUAGAGAUUGAACGUGAUAUAAAACCAAACCCGGAAAAUGAUCAACGACCACUUAGACAAAAUACAGGACAAAAUAAUUAAAGAAUUAUAUGCUAAUGAAGAAAAUGAAAGUAAGAGAAUAAAGCUGUUGUUGUGUGAGAUUGAAGACAUUGAAAAGGGAAUUUCUGACCUCCAAGGUAACCAAAAUAACAUAAGGCAACAUGCAUCAGAACUUCAAACAUUUUUAGCAUUAAAGCACAUUGAAAAAGAGGUUUCUGAUAAAGCAGAAUGUAUUCAGUCCGUCCUUAAGAACGAGGACAUGAAGAUAAAAACACUGGCUUUGGAGGUUAACAAAGACGUACAAAACAUUUGCAGGGCUGAUUGUUUUGGGUCCGUUAGUGUUGAUUCAAAAUCGUGCAAAGUUGUUAUUGACAGUAACAAAAACAAAGAAGCUCAGAUGAUGAUACCUAGUUUAAUUUCCAAAUGCAUAGAUGAUAUCAAACUAAGCAACAAAAUGCAAAUUGAUUUGCAAUCUGCUGGAAGAGUGUAAGAGGUUGCGCAAUUCUACCAAAUGGCAAGAUGAUGUUCUGUGAUUAUAUAAUAAAAAUUUAAUUGUGUUGAAAAGCAACGGUACGCAUGAGUUUGAAAUUCGGCUAGAUACACGCGCAUUUGAUUUAGCAUAUUUUGAAAGAGAAAGUUCCAUUGCCGUUACAAGUGGUCAUGGUUCAAAAGUUAUUCACAUUAUUGACCCUAACAGCAGAACAAUCAAGAGAACUAUACAAAGUAGUGAUAUCCAUAUGGUAUAGCACUGAAUAAAACUGUCCUGGUAUACUGUAAGUUAGGUAAAGGAAUAAUGGAAGUUCAAUUGAAUGGUGAAUCAGAAAAGGCACUUGUUAGCUUUAGUAUGCCACCUUUUUCGUAUGUUGCAGUGCAUGGUGACAAU
rnacentral:lncRNA from 1 species